rnacentral:lncRNA from 1 species
GCUAAUCAAUAGUUUAUUGUAAUUAUAGAAAUGAAUUUAAUCAUAAUUUCUUCCAAAAUCAUACUUCAAGAAAUUACCACUAAGUUAGGUAUUAUGCCGCCGCAAUAUGGUUUUGAGUUACACCAUUUUGACUUUCUUAAAGCUUAUGUUCAAAUUAUUUUUGAACUGGAAGAGGAACAGAAAGAUGAUCAAUUUGAACGUACUAUGCUAUGGGGGCAGAUAGGGAGGCCACAGAUUAAAUCCAAAGAAGAAGCGG